rnacentral:rRNA from 1 species
UUCUUUAAGACUGAAUUUAAAGUAAAACCUGCUCAAUGAAUUUAAAUAGCUGCAGGAGACUGUACUAAGGUAGCAAGAUCAAUAGUUCUUUAAUUAAGAACUCGUAUGAAAGGUAUAAUAAAGAGAAACCGUUUUAAUCUGAGCAUUUUAACUUUAGAAAUUAGUAAAAACUCUAAUUCUCUUUUUAGGGACAAGAAGACCCUAAAAGCUUAAUUUCAAGACUUUAUUCAAAUAUCUAAAAAUUUGAUUGGGGAAAUCAAGUAAGCAAUUAAUUUACUAUAUUGAGCCACUAAUAAUGAAUUCACGAAAAAGUUACUUUAGGGAUAACAGCGUUAUAAAAAAAAGAAAGCACUUAUUUCUUUUUUUGUUUGCGACCUCGAUGUUGGAUUAAUUUUUCUAUUAGGAGCAAGCUCUUAAUAAGCUAGACUGUUCGUCUAUUCAUCAAUUACA